AGCAACAACCAACAGUCUGUCCUGUAGUGGAGCUACAUAUUAAAGGCUGAUUUAAAGGCACAUUGAGCAACCACAAGCGGCCCGAAAUCAUCCUUUCUCGGCGAAAAACUUCGGUGACGACAGGACAGAUUGGGAAGCCGUGAUGGCGGCACAGAAGUUGAGGGAGAAGCUAUUUAUCCCAGACGGAUCAGGAGGUGUGUGACGGAGGUGUGGACGGUUGCUGCAGGUCAGUGACGUUGGCAGGCGACAGGCAGGCCGGCCCACAUGGCUCGGGGACUGUGGGACUACAGACAGAUGGCACCUGGUGGGUGACAAACAAUUAACAAACCAACAAGAAUAGCUGGAUCGGCAGUAUACCCACAAGCACAGGAGAUAGCAAGAGAGCGGGUGCAUCUGUGCUCGGAACACUUUCACUCUUUACUUUUCCU